rnacentral:rRNA from 1 species
CUCGUAGGCGGUUCGUCGCGUCCGGUGUGAAAGUCCAUCGCUUAACGGUAGAUCCGCGCCGGGUACGGGCGGGCUUGAGUGCGGUAGGGGAGACUGGAAUUCCCGGUGUAACGGUGGAAUGUGUAGAUAUUGGGAAGAACACCAAUGGCGAAGGCAGGUCUCUGGGCCGUUACUGACGCUGAGGAGCGAAAGCGUGGGGAGCGAACA